rnacentral:rRNA from 1 species
GAUGAACGCUAGCGGCAGGCUUAAUACAUGCAAGUCGUGGGGCAGCAUGAGUAGCAAUACUUGAUGGCGACCGGCAAACGGGUGAGGAACACGUACACAACCUUCCUUCAAGCGGGGAAUAGCCCAGAGAAAUUUGGAUUAAUACCCCAUAAUAUAUUUGAUAAGGCAUCUUAUUAAUAUUAAAGCUUCGGCACUUGAUGAUGGGUGUGCGGCUGAUUAGAUAGUUGGCGGGUAACGGCCCACCAAGUCUACGAUCAGUAGCUGAUGUGAGAGCAUGAUCAGCCACACGGGCACUGAGACACGGGCCCGACUCCUACGGGAGGCAGCAGUAAGGAAUAUUGGACAAUGGACGAAGUCUGAUCAGCCAUGCCGCGU